rnacentral:lncRNA from 1 species
GCAAAAUCUAAUCCUAGAAUGUAGGGGAAUAUGAUUAACAAGAAAAUGAAGGGUGGGAAUGAUGGUGGUGAUCCUAAGGUUGAGGGUGGUAAGGUUUUUAGGGAGAUGGAGUUUUUCUUGACCAUGACAUGUCCAUUCGCUCUUCAUCUAAUUUAAGAGGGGAAGUCCAGGAAGGUGCAAGAUAUUCGGUAAGGUGUCUAUAUCUUGUUUUCUUGACGACUUCUAGAUGAGUGAUGAGCAUGGUUAUGACCCUUCCAUAGGGUAUGAAGUCUAUAUUUCCUUGUUUUGAUAGUUCGAUACAAGACUUCAUAUGGUUGAAGAUUGUGAGGGGUAGGUUGAUCUUGUAUUUUCUUAAUAAAAAGAAUAGGAAAACCCUGUCUAUUGUUAGGGUGGGGUGUGUGCCUUCUUUUGGCAUGAAGUUACAUACCUGAAUUUGAAACAGUUGUUGAACAAUAGGUUUGAGAUCUUUGGUUUCUGUUCGGCCUCCAGAGAAAUCAUAUAGUUUUCUUAAUACUUUUGGUCGAAGGUCGUUGCAAUAUAGGUACUUCUCGAUAUCGAUGCCUUCUUCACUGCAUUUGAUGACUUUGGCAAUACAUUUAGGAGUAAUGGUGACUGGAACACCAAUAACCUUAGACUUGAUGAAGGAAUGGGAUUUCUUUCUUUUGAUAGAUGCAUUCUUCCAGAAUUCUUUUACAAGUUGCGGAUAGAUGGGUCCCUCUAGAGAACUAAGAUAUUCUUCCCAUCCUUGCUCUUCUAUAAUGUGGCGGAUUUUCCUGAAAUUUUGAAGAUGGAACGUUUUCUCAGCAAUGAUCAUAGGUUUUGAUGAGGCCAUGGUUUAUGUAUGAUGGGUGAGUUAGGAAGGAACAAGUAGUGAGGGUAUAAAUAAUCAUUUUAUAAAUGAAUUAUUUAAUUUGUUCAAAAGGACGGUUCAGAACAUUUUUAUCAGAUGCGAAUAUUCUGAACUUUUGCAAACGUUCUGAACUUUUGCAAACAUUCUGAACUUUGUUUGAACUUUCUAAUAAGAAUCAGAUAGCAUCAAAGGGGUUGGUCUAUGGCCCUUAGUGCUUCAGUAAUCAACCUUUGUUGGGAUUUUUCAUGAUUAACAAUUUUUCUUUAAUAAAAUUGAAUCUAUCCUCAAUUAAUGGUUUUGUAAAAAUGUCAGCUAAUUGAUUUUCUGUAUCAACAAAGCUUAAUGCAAUAUCCUUUU